rnacentral:rRNA from 1 species
GUAAUCACUUGUCUUCUAAAUAAAGACUCGUAUGAACGGCUAAAUGAGGACAAACCUGUCUCCUAUGUCCAAUCAGUGAAACUGAUCUCCCAGUACAAAAGCUGGGAUAGACCCAUAAGACGAGAAGACCCUGUGGAGCUUCAAACCAACCACUACCAACCCCCUAGUGACAGGUUUUUAGUUGGGGCGACUUCGGAACUAAACAGAACUUCCGAGAACAAAGGCACCACCUUUAUUUGAGGCCUACUGGCCAAAAACAUACAAUCGACCCAGUCUUACUGAGCAACGAACCAAGUUACCCCAGGGAUAACAGCGCCAUCUUCUUCAAGAGUCCCUAUCGACAAGAAGGUUUACGACCUCGAUGUUGGAUCAGGACACCCAAAUGGUGCAGCCGCUAUUAAAGGUUCGUUUGUUCAACGAUUAACAGU